rnacentral:sRNA from 1 species
CAACAAUUCGGUCUUUACUUAACCUGCCCUAAUAUUUUUCGGCCUGAUGGGAAUUAGUGCAGAGAAGCCAUGUCACCAUAGAAGGCAACUCCUACUUGUGUGUGGACUGAGCAAUCAGAGUCUGUGGCGAUAAUAUUGCUGAAAAUGCACUGCAUUCAUUUUUCUAAACAUAGAUUGAGAACAGUUGAACUCUUAAAUCCUCAGAUGCCAGGGGUCUGCUCUAGCAUCAACGCAGGAGGAGGGAGAUGCACUGAUGACAUCGGGCCGCUCCUGCAGCUCGGGCGCCUCGCAGUCUCCAGGUGCAAGGCCAGCGCUUCCGCCGUGGCUGCUUCAGGACAUCCCCCAGCACAGCCGCUCCUGGAGACCCGGCCAUCUUUUCUGCAUCGUUUUGCAAUUUGUGAAACUUAGGACAGCAGCCGCCUGUUCAACCAGGCCCUCCGCCGGAU